AUAAGUAACAAAAAUGAGACGCUGGGGUUGCAAAUGACCAAAUGAGGAAGGUUCUUAAUAGAUUAUGGUUCAGGGUGCUGUCUAGCUUUGAAGAAAAGGAUCCUUCUUUGAUCAGGAAAGUUCACAAGUUUUGCAUUAUACAUUCAAAGAAAUCGCUUUUUGUGAAGAAGCUUUGAAGAAGUCAGGCGCCAUUAAAUUGAAGGAAUAUUGUUCAAAACAAUGACACCAGUCACACGACCUUUUCAUAGCUUACGUACAGGAACCGCUGAACUACAUCCUCUAAAGUGUCGAGUUGUGGAUAGUAACCAGAGCUACUGUGGAGAUAUUCGAGUCGGCAUUACCUUUACCUCAAGGGUUGAUUCCGAAACGAACGCACAUGAUUUUGGAGGAUGGAAAGGGAGCAAGUGGUAGUUCGUGGGCAAUGCCCCGUUUAUAUUGUAGUUCUAUAAACUGUACAUGUCAAAUUUUUUGGGUUUAGAUGCUCAUAAGUCUGUAAUGUAAAUUGUAUACAUUUGUUGUAAAGAUGCUCAUAAAACUUGAAAUAGCUUUCUUAAGGUUUA